rnacentral:lncRNA from 1 species
GUGGUAUGCACACUUGAUAACGAUGUUCUCCAAGUUGUGCAAAGCUUUCCAUUACAAACAACCUAUCUAUGAGAUGUAUCCAAUAUAUGUGUAGACGAGUCUGAUAUUAAACAGGAUAUAUCAUCUUUUCAGCCUCGGUGUUGGAAGAUCUAUAUGACAUUAUUGUGCUUUGUUGUUCUCCUCAAGUCCUGUUUUGGUUUUUGCUCGGUUCUCCUCAAGGAUGUCUUUGGUUUUUUGUUCAGUUCUCAUCUAAUCUUAUCAACUUGGUUUUUGUUUUAGACUGCAAAAGUCACAGACAAGAACUCCUCAAUACCCACACAUGCAAUCAAAUCACCAUUACAUCAAACUGAGUCAUUAAACGACCACAAACUGAUUCAUAAACUCCGCACAACAAACUGAUCAAGACCAAUUUUGCUCGAACACAAAUUGAGUUAUAAACUCAGCACACAAAGAAGUUGAUUAAGUAAAGUAUAAUCAAGGAGGGUCUUACUUUAGCAAAGAGUUUAGAGCAAUCAUACCGAAGAGAUUUACUACACCUAGGCUAAUGACCAUUGCUCUCUCGGAUGUAUUUGUUUUACUGUGAAGAAAGGAAAAUUCCCGUAUCAAAACAAGAAACACAAAUGCAAUACAAACUUCUCAUAUGUGUUAGACAUUAAAAUCCAUGUUCAAACAUUAAAUUUGAGCGUCAACCAGUAGUGAGAGAAAACAUGUUGGAUUUAUAGUGAGAGAAUACAGAACAAACCAGUAACACAACAAGAUGGGCCAGAACACAUGUACAUCCAAGAAUGAGAAGAAAGUCAUCAAAAAUGCAACAACGAAAGGCUAGUCGCUUCAUACAUGAAUCAAGAUUGGCAAAAAAGAAAAAAUAUCAUGAGAACUCAAAACUAAAGCAUUAUACAAUUUUCAAACCUAAAUCAGAUCUCAUACGAGUAAGAAACAUAACAAUCAUCAAUCAAGUUGCAUCAAAAGAACCGUCUAUCAUCUAAACUAAUAUACAAAUUACCAGAACUAGAACAAAAUUGGCAAAAAAACACAAACUUUUCAUGAGAGAAGUCAAACCCAUAAAUCAGAUUCAAUUUCCUUUUAAAGAUUCUAUGAAAUCGCCAAAGCUCUCAAAUUCAACAGGGUUGGUAUAGAAAUUGAAUCAUACCCGCGCCCAUGUCUUCUUUGACGAUCAUCAUCAUCGCUUUAACAAAAUUUGAUGGUUAAAUAUACCUUGAAUCCUGGAGCUUUGUUGCUCGUUGAAAGAAGAGAG